rnacentral:misc_RNA from 1 species
CCAGAAGAGACCCUAACCGGUCCUCUCAACCCUGCCCAUCGUACCCUUUGUAUUGUUCCCUCGGCGAGGCUUUUCAAGCCCGCCGGCGGGAAGAUCAACGAAACUCUUUGCAAGCAAGCAUCCUGAAACCUCUGAUCGAAUACAAAUUGUCA